CUCUCAAGAUGAGGGGGUUAAGGGAUGUCCCCAAACUGGGAGGGGAAUAAGGGGGGAAAGGGGGAGCCCUGAAGUCGGGGGGGGUCAUCAUGGGAGGUCCCCAAAAUGGUGUCACCCACAUACCCCCAUGUUCUCCCCCCCCAGGGCAGGAGGGGCCCAAAAUGGUGCCCGCCUGUGUGGCCAGCCCCAGAGCCCCUGCAGGAGGGAGGGGGAGGGCGAGUGAGGGAGGGACCCAGCCGCCUGGGUCCCCUGCGGGGAGUGGGGGUUCCCCAGGUGCCUGGGUGCCCCCCGGACGCCUGGGUCCCCCCCAGGAACUGUGCCGGCUGCCAGAGCCUGUCCCUGGGGUGAUGCUGCCCAGUCAAGGCUGCUGGUUGUGUCCCAGCUGUUGCGGCACAGCUCCAGCUGGCGGAAGAGAAGCUGCAAUGGCAGGAGCAGCAGCUGAGGCAGCAGGAGCAACAGCUCCACGGCCCAGAGGGAGAACAACGAUACCCCCCUAACGUCGUCCAGGAGCUCAAGCUGAAGGCCGGGGGGGUCUGGGGGGAGGCACACCCCCACUGUACCCCCAAAGUCACAGGGUUCUCUCCUUACCCAGAGCAACACCACCGCCUGGAGCAGCAUCCCCGCUUGACAAGAUGCUGGUGUUGCCCAGGUCAGAGGAGGUGAGCUGCUUUGGGGGUGCCCCCCCACUUCCUUACCCCAAUGUGGGGAGACUGCGGGGUUUUGAGGCCCCCCACGUGCCCCCCUGCCAAGGCUAAUGUUUGUAAGCGUCUCCCCCAGGAAAGAACUUCAGUGAGUCCCUCCCGGUGCUUUGCCAGGAAGGUGAAUGAGCCCGUGGCCCCCAACAACCGCAAGUAGCUGCCCCAAGCACAGGGUGAUUCUUUUAUAUACCCCAAUAAAAUAAGUGUUUCCUACGG